GCGCGCUUACCAUGCAAGUCGACGGCAGCACGGGUGCUUGCACCUGGUGGCGAGUGGCGAACGGGUGAGUAAUAUAUCGGAACAUGUCCGGAAGUGGGGGAUAACGUAGCGAAAGUUACGCUAAUACCGCAUAUGCCCUGAGGGGGAAGGGGGGGAUCGCAAGACCUCUCGCUUUCGGAGUGGCCGAUAUCAGAUUAGCUAGUUGGUGGGGUAAAGGCCUACCAAGGCGACGAUCUGUAGCUGGUCUGAGAGGACGACCAGCCACACUGGGACUGAGACACGGCCCAGACUCCUACGGGAGGCAGCAGUGGGGAAUUUUGGACAAUGGGCGCAAGCCUGAUCCAGCCAUGCCGCGUGAGUGAAGAAGGCCUUCGGGUUGUAAAGCUCUUUCAGCCGGAAAGAAAUCGCACUGGUUAAUACCUUGUGUGGAUGACGGUACCGGAAGAAGAAGCACCGGCUAACUACGUGCCAGCAGCCGCGGUAAUACGUAAGGUGCGAGCGUUAAUCGGAAUUACUGGGCGUAAAGCGUGCGCAGCGGUUUUGUAAGACAGACGUGAAAUCCCCGGGCUUAACCUGGGAACUGCGUUUGUGACUGCAAGGCUAGAGUACGGCAGAGGGGGGUAUAAUUCCACGUGUA
rnacentral:rRNA from 1 species